GAUGAAGAACGCAGCGAAAUGCGAUAAGUAGUGUGAAUUGCAGAAUUCAGUGAAUCAUCGAAUCUUUGAACGCACAUUGCGCCCCCUGGUAUUCCGGGGGGCAUGCCUGUCCGAGCGUCAUUACAACCCUCAAGCUCAGCUUGGUGUUGGGCCCCGCCGCCCCGGCGGGCCCUAAAGUCAGUGGCGGUGCCGUCCGGCUCCGAGCGUAGUAAUUCUUCUCGCUCUGGAGGUCCGGUCGUGUGCUCGCCAGCAACCCCCAAUUUUUUUCAGGUUGACCUCGGAUUAGGUAGGGAUACCCGCUGAACUUAAGCAUAUCAAUAAGCGGAGGA
rnacentral:misc_RNA from 1 species